GACUGGAUAGCCUAGUGGUAAAGGCAUCACAUUGGCAAUGCUGAGGUCCCAGGUUUAAAUCCUGGUCUAGUCA
rnacentral:tRNA from 1 species